rnacentral:rRNA from 1 species
CCUACGGGAGGCAGCAGUGGGGAAUCUUGCACAAUGGGGGAAACCCUGAUGCAGCGACGCCGCGUGAGCGAUGAAGGUCUUCGGAUUGUAAACCUCUGUCACCGGGGAAGAAACGCUUUGCGUUAACAGUGCAAACCUGACUUAACCCGGAGAGGAAGCAGUGGCUAACUCUGUGCCAGCAGCCGCGGUAAU